GAGACAGCAGUAGCCGCGGUAAUACAGAGGGUGCGAGCGUUAAUCGGAUUUACUGGGCGUAAAGCGUGCGUAGGCGGCCUUUUAAGUCGGAUGUGAAAUCCCUGAGCUUAACUUAGGAAUUGCAUUCGAUACUGGGAAGCUAGAGUAUGGGAGAGGAUGGUAGAAUUCCAGGUGUAGCGGUGAAAUGCGUAGAGAUCUGGAGGAAUACCGAUGGCGAAGGCAGCCAUCUGGCCUAAUACUGACGCUGAGGUACGAAAGCAUGGGGAGCAAACAGGAUUAGAUACCCCAGUAGUCCCUGUCUCUUAUAC
rnacentral:rRNA from 1 species